CCUUAAUGGCUUCCCCUAGUACGGCGAGUGAAGUGGGCCUUAGCCCAAGCUUGAAAGCUGGCGCUUCGGCGUCUGUUUGUAAUCUCAAGAAGUGUUUUCCGUUUCGGCCAUGCCUAAGUCUCUUGGAAAAGAGCAUCAUAGAGGGUGAUAAUCCCGUACAUGGCAUGGAGCGCCCGAGACUUUGUGAUACGCUUUCUAAGAGUCGAGUUGUUUGGGAAUGCAGCUCAAAAUGGGUGGUAAAUGCCAUCUAAGGCUAAAUAUUGGGGAGAGACCGAUAGCGAACAAGUACAGUGAUGGAAAGAUGAAAAGAACUUUGAAAAGAGAGUUAAACAGUACGUGAAUUUGCUUUUUAGGGAAGGGUAGGAGGUCAGAGAUGCGUUCUGGGAUUCAGCCUUGCUUUUGUUUGGUGUUUUUCCCAGAUUGCAGGCCAACGUCGGUUUUGGGCGCUGGAGAAGGGUGGAAGGAAUGUGGCACCUCUCGGGGUGUGUUAUAGCCUUCUACUGGAUACAGUGACCGAGACCGAGGACAGCAGCGUACUCGCAAGAGCGGGCCUUCGGGCACCUUUACGCUUAGGGCGUUGGCAUAAUGGCCCUCUACCACCCGCUUUGAAACGGACCCAAAGUUAGCGGUAGGCCUGCCAAUAAAACCCCGCUUGAGGAUCAAAAUCCUAGGUGAUAUUUUCCCGCUCAUGCGCGCUCAGAGGACUCCAUACCGCAGUCUUUCCGUCCCAAUAUAACGAGCAAAGCUACUUCCAAGGGCGGACUUUAUCAAAGCCUGUAGGUAAGGAGAGCCCCAGAUGCGAUUCGGCCCUCUGCAUCCAUGAUGCCUAGGAUGUCGGAGGCCACGGCAUGGCAAAACUCUCAACGAUCCGCACUUUAGACAGUGUCGUCGAACGUCGGCUCUUAACCGUCUACUCCAGAUAGAUUG
rnacentral:rRNA from 1 species